rnacentral:rRNA from 1 species
AGUGAACGCUGGCGGUAGGCCUAACGCAUGCAAGUCGAACGGCAGCACAGUAAGAGCUUGCUCUUACGGGUGGCGAGUGGCGGACGGGUGAGGAAUACAUCGGAAUCUACUUUAUCGUGGGGGAUAACGUAGGGAAACUUACGCUAAUACCGCAUACGACCUACGGGUGAAAGCAGGGGAUCUUCGGACCUUGCGCGAUUGAAUGAGCCGAUGUCGGAUUAGCUAGUUGGCGGGGUAAAGGCCCACCAAGGCGACGAUCCGUAGCUGGUCUGAGAGGAUGAUCAGCCACACUGGAACUGAGACACGGUCCAGACUCCUACGGGAGGCAGCAGUAGGGAAUAUUGGACAAUGGGCGCAAGCCUGAUCCAGCCAUACCGCGUGGGUGAAGAAGGCCUUCGGGUUGUAAAGCCCUUUUGUUGGGAAAGAAAAGCAGCAGGUUAAUACCCCGCUGUUCUGACGGUACCCAAAGAAUAAGCACCGGCUAACUUCGUG